AGGACAGCUAGAGCUAAAGGGCUCUCUGUAGAAACAAGUUCACCUCUCUGCUGAGGAGUAAGUCUCAGAAGAGAUUAAGAGUUGUUCAGGGUGCUAAUCCAACAUUGCUUUGGAUAAUAUCACUGGUAUACAGCAAUCAAGGAUUGUGCAAUGUGAAGCUAUACAAUCCUUUCCUCUGGCAGAAGAAACAGGCAGGCAACUUUGCCAGUGCUGUUGUGAAAAGCCUUUCAUAGCAUCCAUCAGCUCCCACAGACUUCAGUGCACUUGUUUAUCUCUUUGAUACCAAGGAAAAGGAUCAAUAUCUGAAAGGUCUUUUGUAGGCCUAAGAAUCCUGAAGAAAUCAGCCAGCAAUAGGCAUCUGUGGUUCUCUGAAUUUUUAUUCUUCCAUGCAGCCUUUUUUCUGUUACCACCUGCUCAUCUAACCUGCAUUGCUAUAGAUUUUUCCAGUGGCAGGUAGGCUUCAAUAUACACGUACACAGUGCCUGGGAGAAACCGAACCUAGGUGGUAAGUUUUCACACUGCUCUGAGAAACACUGAUUUUUAUAAAGAGUCCAGAUGCAGAUAUUACAGAUUUUAAGAGCUGUAACCUUGAACAAAGACAUGUUUUUUUCUCGGAAAUAUUCUAAGGACUUCUGUAGCAGACACGAGAAAGAAUAGCCUUGUGUGCUUUUGAGAGAGGACUGGGAUUCAUGACUUGAUCUCAUUCUGUUACAAUUAGUGUACUUCAUUUGUCCUCUGUUAUGCAAUAAAAUGAACUCAUUGCAGCA